UGCAUAGCUGUGUGAGGUAUGUCCCAGGGACGAUCCUAGUGUCGAGAGAUAUCAGGCACACUUGACUGAGACCGUCAGAUCUACGGAGGCAGCAGUGGGGAUAUGCACAUGGGCGAAAGCCUGAUGCAGCCAUGCCGCGGGUAUGAAGAAGGCCUUCGGGUGUAAGUACUUUCAGUUGUGAGAAGGGGGUGUCGUUAAUAGCGGCAUCUCUUGACGUUAGCAACAGAAGAAGCACCGGCUAACUCCGUGCCAGCAGCCGCGGUAAUACGGAGGGUGCGAGCGUUAAUCGGAAUACUGGGCGUAAAGCGCAUGCAGGUGGUUCAUUAAGUCAGAUGUGAAAGCCCGGGGCUCAACCUCGGAACUGCAUUUGAAACUGGUGAACUAGAGUACUGUAGAGGGGGGUAGAAUUUCAGGUGUAGCGGUGAAAUGCGUAGAGAUCUGAAGGAAUACCAGUGGCGAAGGCGGCCCCCUGGACAGAUACUGACACUCAGAUGCGAAAGCGUGGGGAGCAAACAGGAUUAGAUACCCUGGUAGUCCACGCCGUAAACGAUGUCUACUUGGAGGUUGUGGCCUUGAGCCGUGGCUUUCGGAGCUAACGCGUUAAGUAGACCGCCUGGGGAGUACGGUCGCAAGAUUAAAACUCAAAUGAAUUGACGGGGGCCCGCACAAGCGGUGGAGCAUGUGGUUUAAUUCGAUGCAACGCGAAUAACCUUACCUACUCGUUGACAUCCAGCUGAUGUCGGCGGAGACGCAGGUGUGCCAAUUCGGGAGGUUUUAGGUAGUUUCUCGCUUUUAUGGCUGUCGUCCAGCUCGGCUGUUGUGAAAUGUUGGGUUAAGUCCCAGUUCAACGAGCGCAGACCCUUAUCACUUGUUUGCCUUGCGAGUAACUGUCUGGGAACUCCAGGUAGCCUGCCGGUGAUAAGGACCCGGAGGAAUUCUGUGUGGUAUCUGGGGUGGAGUCAUGGUUGCCCUUACGAGUAGGUCUACGCACGUGCUACAAUGGCUCAAUGACAGAGUGCAGGACAGGACUUGCGACGAGUGAGCGAAUCCCGGUGAAGAGUGUCUGCUUUUUAGUCCGGAUAUGGCAGUCUGCAACUUGACUCCCACCUGAAGUCGAGAAUCGCUAGUAAUCGUAGAUCAGUUUGCUACGUUGAAUACGUUCCCGGUCCUUGUACACACCGCCCGUCACACCAUGGGAGUGGGUUGAACAAACAGAAGUUGGUAGAUUUCGUCCCUUUCGGGGCGGACGACUCACCAGUGGCUUUGCGUCGAUGAUCCACUGUUAAGCUCUGUGCGAUACCUUGGCGGGGCAGAAGGAAAACUUUCAGGUGUUUUAUGCCAGCGUCUGUGACGAGUGCUUGCUCUGGUUCAGUGCGUGGAUACCGUUAAGUUGAUGCCUAUGAUUAGCCCUUGCUACAGCUGUAAAACCAGACAAAACACUCUAAUGCAUGCAUGUUUAUCCGUUUGAGUCCUCUAAAAUAACCACAGAAAUCCAUCUACCUUUUGGCGUUAAGCAUCUAAUCCCCA
rnacentral:rRNA from 1 species